rnacentral:rRNA from 1 species
GAUGAACGCUGGCGGCGUGCUUAACACAUGCAAGUCGAACGAAGCACUUGAAACGGAUUCUUCGGAUGAAGUUUCCUGUGACUGAGUGGCGGACGGGUGAGUAACGCGUGGGUAACCUGCCUCAUACAGGGGGAUAACAGUUAGAAAUGGCUGCUAAUACCGCAUAAGCGCACGGCAUCGCAUGAUGCAGUGUGAAAAACUCCGGUGGUAGGAGAUGGAACCGCGUUGGAUUAGCUAGUUGGCAGGGUAACGGCCUACCAAGGCGACGAUCCAUGGCCGGCCUGAAAGGGUGGACGGCCACAUUGGGACUGAUACACGGCCCAGACUCCUACGGGAGGCAGCAGUGGGGAAUAUUGCACAAUGGGGGAAACCCUGAUGCAGCGACGCCGCGUGAGCGAAGAAGUAUUUCGGUAUGUAAAGCUCUAUCAGCAGGGAAGAAAAUGACGGUACCUGACUAAGAAGCCCCGGCUAACUACGUGCCAGCCGCCGCGGUAA